CAAUAGCGUAUAUUUAAGUUGUUGCAGUUAAAAAGCUCGUAGUUGGAUUUCGGGCGGGGCCUGCCGGUCCGCCUUUGGUGUGCACUGGCAGGGUCCGCCUUGCUGUCGGGGACGGGUUCCUGGGCUUUACUGUCUGGGACUCGGAGUCGACGUGGUUACUUUGAGUAAAUUAGAGUGUUCAAAGCAGGCUUACGCUCUGAAUACAUUAGCAUGGAAUAACGCGAUAGGACUCUGGCCUAUCUUGUUGGUCUGUGGGACCGGAGUAAUGAUUAAGAGGGACAGUCGGGGGCAUUCGUAUUUCAUUGUCAGAGGUGAAAUUCUUGGAUUUAUGAAAGACGAACUAC
rnacentral:rRNA from 2 species